rnacentral:rRNA from 1 species
GAUGAACGCUAGCUACAGGCUUAACACAUGCAAGUCGAGGGGAAACGACAUCGAAAGCUUGCUUUUGAUGGGCGUCGACCGGCGCACGGGUGAGUAACGCGUAUCCAACCUGCCCACCACUUGGGGAUAACCUUGCGAAAGUAAGACUAAUACCCAAUGAUAUCCCACGAAGACAUCUGAAUGGGAUUAAAGAUUUAUCGGUGAUGGAUGGGGAUGCGUCUGAUUAGCUUGUUGGCGGGGUAACGGCCCACCAAGGCAACGAUCAGUAGGGGUUCUGAGAGGAAGGUCCCCCACAUUGGAACGGAGACACGGUCCAAACUCCUACGGGAGGCAGCAGUGAGGAAUAUUGGUCAAUGGGCGAGAGCCUGAACCAGCCAAGUAGCGUGCAGGAAGACGGCCCUAUGGGUUGUAAACUGCUUUUAUAAGGGAAUAAAGUGGGUCACGUGUGACUUUUUGCAUGUACCUUAUGAAUAAGGACCGGCUAAUUCCGUG